GACGAACGCUGGCGGCGUGCCUAAUACAUGCAAGUCGAGCGGAUGAAGGAGGAGCUUGCUCCUCCUGAUUCAGCGGCGGACGGGUGAGUAACACGUGGGCAACCUGCCCUGUAGAUUGGGAUAACUCCGGGAAACCGGGGCUAAUACCGAAUAAUCCACCGGACCUCAUGGUCUGGUGUUGAAAGACGGCAUCUCGCUGUCACUACAGGAUGGGCCCGCGGCGCAUUAGCUAGUUGGUGAGGUAACGGCUCACCAAGGCCACGAUGCGUAGCCGACCUGAGAGGGUGAUCGGCCCCACUGGGACUGAGACACGGCCCAGACUCCUACGGGAGGCAGCAGUAGGGAAUCUUCCACAAUGGACGAAAGUCUGAUGGAGCAACGCCGCGUGAGUGAAGAAGGUUCUCGGAUCGUAAAACUCUGUUGUGAGGGAAGAACGAGUACCGGAGUAACUGCCGGUACCUUGACGGUACCUCACUAGAAAGCCACGGCUAACUACGUGCCAGCCGCCGCCGUAA
rnacentral:rRNA from 1 species